rnacentral:rRNA from 1 species
CGAUCCUGGCUUAGGACGAACGCUGGCGGCGUGCUUAACACAUGCAAGUCGAGCGAUGAAGCUUCUCGGAAGUGGAUUAGCGGCGGACGGGUGAGUAACACGUGGGUAACCUGCCUCAUAGAGGGGAAUAGCCUUCCGAAAGGAAGAUUAAUACCGCAUAAGAUUGUAAUAUCGCAUGAUAUAGCAAUUAAAGGAGUAAUCCGCUAUGAGAUGGACCCCGCGUCGCAUUAGCUAGUUGGUGAGGUAACGGCUCACCAAGGCGACGAUGCGUAGCCGACCUGAGAGGGUGAUCGGCCACAUUGGGACUGAGACACGGCCCAGACUCCUACGGGAGGCAGCAGUGGGGAAUAUUGCACAAUGGGGGAAACCCUGAUGCAAGCAACGCCGCGUGAGUGAUGACGGUCUUCGGAUUGUAAAGCUCUGUCUUCAGGGACGAUAAUGACGGUACCUGAGGAGGAAGCCACGGCUAACUACGUGCCAGCCGCGGC